AUUGAACGCUGGCGGAAUGCUUUACUCAUGCAAGUCGAGCGGCAGCACGGGGGCAACCCUGGUGGCGAGCGGCGAACGGGUGAGUAAUACAUCGGAACAUGCCCCGUCGUGGGGGAUAACACUUCGUAAGACGUGCUAAUACCGCAUACGUCCUGAGGGGGAAAGCGGGGGAUCGCAAGACCUCGCGCGAUCGGAGUGGCCGAUGUCAGAUUAGCUAGUUGGUGGGGUAAAGGCCUACCAAGGCAACGAUCUGUAGCUGGUCUGAGAGGAUGAUCAGCCACACUGGGACUGAGACACGGCCCAGACUCCUACGGGAGGCAGCAGUGGGGAAUUGUGGACAAUGGGGGCAACCCUGAUCCAGGCAUUCCGCGUGAGGGAAGAAGGCCUUCGGGUUGUAAAGCUCUUUCGGCAGGAACGAAACGGUGAGCUCUAACAUAGCUUGCUAAUGACGGUACCUGAAGAAGAAGCACGGGCUAACUACGUG
rnacentral:rRNA from 1 species